UAACAAAGGGCAUUUGCAAUGU
rnacentral:miRNA from 1 species